UACAGAGGUCUCAAGCGUUGUUCGGAUUCAUUGGGCGUAAAGGGUGCGUAGGCGGCGCGGUAAGUCGGGUGUGAAAUCUCGGAGCUUAACUCCGAAACUGCAUUCGAUACUGCCGUGCUUGAGGACUGGAGAGGAGACUGGAAUUUACGGUGUAGCGGUGAAAAUGCGUAGAUAUCGUAAGGAAGACCAGUGCGAAGGCGGGUCUCUGGACA
rnacentral:rRNA from 1 species